ensembl:snoRNA small nucleolar RNA U2-19
GAUCAAUGAUGAAAGUAGUCAAACCUGAGCAUCAAAGGACCUUCCAAUGUGCUUUGAUGUAUGAGCUCCAUAAUGCUGAGA